UGUGCUGCAUAAGCAAAACAAUUUUAUUACAGAAGAUGAGAUGGUAGUGGCUCUUUCUAAUCCGUGUGAAGUUGUUGUCAAGGCUAUUGAAUCACACCUAUCAUUGCAAAGAAAAACGUACGAACCUAC
rnacentral:lncRNA from 1 species